GCUGCAACAUCCCCGUUGGCUGGGCGAGCGCGUACCGUCGCAGCGAGCCGACUGCAUGC
rnacentral:sRNA from 1 species